rnacentral:tRNA from 1 species
GGAUUCCUAGCUCAGUUGGAUAGAGCACUGCCCUCCGACGGCAGAGGCCGGGGGUUCGAGUCCCCCGGAGUCCGCCA